rnacentral:lncRNA from 1 species
GGCUGCACUUAGGUUAGCUGGGGGGAGGUGGGGGGCGCUCUGGUCUGAGGUCAUGGCCCUGCCCCGGGGUCUAGUCUUGGGAUCACGGCCUUGCCCAGGGUUUGGUCUGAGGGUCACAGACCCUUGGCUGGGGGUUCUGGUCUGAGGUCAUGGCCCUGCCCUAGGGUCUGGUGUGGGGAUCACAGCCUUGCCAGGGUUUGGUCGGAGAGUCACAGACCCUUCCUUGGCUGGGGGUUCUGGUCUGAGGUCAUGGCCCUGCCCUAGGGUCUGGUGUGGGGAUCACAGCCUUGCCAGGGUUUGGUCGGAGAGUCACAGACCCUUGGCUGGGGGUUCUGGUCUGAGGUCAUGGCCCUGCCCUAGGGUCUGGUGUGGGGAUCACAGCCUUGCCGGGGUUUGGUCGGAGGGUCACAGACCCUUGGCUGGGGGUUCUGGUCUGGGGUCAUGGCCCUGCCCCAGGUUCUGGUCUGGGGAUCACGGCCUUGCCAGGGUUUGGUCUGAGGGUCACAGAUCUUUGGCUGGGAGUUCUGGUCUGAAGAUCAUGACUCUGCUCUGGGUCUCAUCUGGGGGUCAUGGCCCCACCCUGGGUUUCUGGUCUGGGGAUCACGGCCUUGCCAGGGUUUGGUCUGAGGGUCACAGAUCUUUGGCUGGGAGUUCUGGUCUGAAGAUCAUGACUCUGCUCUGGGUCUCAUCUGGGGGUCAUGGCCCCACCCUGGGUUUCUGGUCUGGGGACCACGGCCCUGCCUUGGGGCCUGGUCUGGGGGUCAUGGCUCUGCCCUGGGUCUGGUCUGGGGGUCAUGACCCUGUCCUGGCCUCUGGUCGAAGGUCAUGGCCCUGCUCUGGAAUCUGGCCCCAAGUUCUGGCUGUGAUCAGAGGGACUGGCUGGUAGAGAUACUUCUCUGAGCCAGAAACCAAGCCCUUUCCAGGCUGUGACCUUGGUGUGGCCGCCGGGCGGCUCCCACCCUCAGGGCCUGGAGAGAAGCAGGACUCAGCCAGCACACCAACAGGCAGGCUCUGCAUUCCCAGCACCCACUAGAGCAUGUCCCCAAUCCAGGCCAAGCCCCAGCUGUUCAAGAACCUUCUGCCCGAGGCUGGGAAUGGCCCUCCUGAGGCCGUGGACCAC